rnacentral:rRNA from 1 species
AGGACGAACGCUGGCGGCGUGCUUAACACAUGCAAGUCGAGCGGUAAGGCCUUUCGGGGUACACGAGCGGCGAACGGGUGAGUAACACGUGGGUGAUCUGCCCUGCACUCUGGGAUAAGCCUGGGAAACUGGGUCUAAUACCGGAUAUGACCUGCUCUCGCAGUGGGGGUGGGUGGAAAGAUUUAUCGGUGCAGGAUGGGGCCCGCGGCCUAUCAGUCUUGGUUGGUGGGGUAAUGGCCUACCAAGGCGACGACGGGUAGCCG